UCAGCCACCGCCAGCCACCCCAGCCCCUCACUGUCUCUCUCGCACUCAGUCCGCCACCGCCAGUAGGCCACCGUCGACGAGGACACGAGGCUCCUUGUGGGAAAGAAUAUGCUAGUUGAGUCACCUGUUCUUGGACACUGACAAGCAAGAAGGGCAUUGAGAGGAUUGGUGAGGCUUCAAGCUAUAGUUUGCGGAUGGCA